rnacentral:rRNA from 1 species
CCUACGGGAGGCAGCAGUGAGGAAUAUUGGACAAUGGGCGCAAGCCUGAUCCAGCCAUGCCGCGUGCAGGAAGACGCAUCUAUGGUGUGUAAACUGCUUUUGUACGGGAAGAAACACUCCUUCGUGAAGGAGCUUGACGGUACCGUAAGAAUAAGGAUCGGCUAACUCCGUGCCAGCAGCCGCGGUAAUACGGAGGAUCCAAGCGUUAUCCGGGAAUCAUUGGGUUUAAAGGGUCCGUAGGCGGUUUAAUAAGUCAGUGGUGAAAUCUGGUCGCUCAACGAUCAAACGGCCAUUGAUACCUGUUAGACUUGAAUUACUAGGAAGUAACUAGAAUAUGUAGUGUAGCGGUGAAGUGCUUAGAUAUUACAUGGAAUACCAAUUGCGAAGGCAGGUUACUACUAGUGGAUUGACGCUGAUGGACGAAAGCGUGGGGAGCGAACAGGAUUAGAUACCCUGGUAGUCCACGCCGUAAACCGACUAGAUACUAGCUGUUGGGUCGGUCGACGUUACGUAGU